GACGAACGCUGGCGGCGUGCCUAACACAUGCAAGUCGAACGAAGCUUGACGAACGAUUCUUCGGAUGAAUUCUGAUAUGACUGAGUGGCGGACGGGUGAGUAACGCGUGAGCAACCUGCCCUUCAGAGGGGGAUAGUGUCUGGAAACGGACAGUAAUACCGCAUAAUGUACAUUGAUGGCAUCUUCGAUGUACCAAAGCUUUUGCGCUGAAGGAUGGGCUCGCGUCUGAUUAGAUAGUUGGUGGGGUAAUGGCCUACCAAGUCGACGAUCAGUAGCCGGACUGAGAGGUUGAACGGCCACAUUGGGACUGAGACACGGCCCAGACUCCUACGGGAGGCAGCAGUGGGAUAUUGCACAAUGGAGGAAACUCUGAUGCAGCGACGCCGCGUGAGCGAAGAAGUAUUUCGGUAUGUAAAGCUCUGUCAGCAGGGAAGAUAAUGACGGUACCUGACCAAGAAG
rnacentral:rRNA from 1 species